AUGGAGAUCCACAGACACAGUGGACUGAAGGGGCCUAGGCCUGGGAGGCGCCUGAGGAGGAGGGAAAAAGGACCACUUCUCCUUACCGCCGGCCCUCAGGAGUGUCUAAGCCAUUCUCCCUUCAUUAAUCAUGGAAAAGACAGCACGCCCCAGCCCGGGAGAGAAAAAGUGCCUUUUUCAUCUGUCUGGCUACAUGGGUCUCAACAUGAAAGUUCAGCUCUGGCUAAGCUCUCAAUCUUGACAGCCGUCCUGCCGCCUCUGACCCCUCUCGGGCUCUUUCAACCACACCCGCAAAAGGGGGCAUGGGUUUGAUCCCUGGUCAAGGAUGCAAGAUCCCACAUGCUGCACAGAAUAAAAACCUUAAAAAAAAUGAAAAUUUA
rnacentral:lncRNA from 1 species